UUUAGUCAGUUGCUGUAUGGGUAACAGUUUGGUUGCUUGUGGUCUAUAAGAGACAACUUGGAGGUCAUUUUCCCAUAUCUCUACUGGCUUGCUUUGUGAUGUCCUGCAUUUGCAAAAGUGUGUGGAAUACGGCUUGCAAUCUUCCUUCAUAUAUUUACGUAUGAGUGAGAACUCAAGGUUGCCAGGUUUGAGUGGACAAGACCUGUAAAAUAUGGCAGUUGUUGAUCACUGGAACCUACAAGAAGUUCCAUCUCAUGCUUAGUUAACAUUGUAAUGUUAUUGUAGCAGUACUAAGCCACAAAUGUGUUAGGAAACAACGCGCUUCUAACACAUCAAUUUUAAGAUUGUAGCAACGCAAGUCUUAAAUACAACUGAAAAGUGCUACAGUUGUUGUUAGCGUCUGCAUUAGGUGCAAAGACUGUGAAGGGGCCACGACUCCCAAGUUCAGGGUGCCUUUGCAAGUUUCUCCAUCUCCAAUAAAGCCUGCCGCGCAAGUGCAGUUCCUCUCCAGGGGUCCCGUCAUGACACAUUGGGCAAACCUGUGACAUCCACCAUUUUUCUGAUUGAAAAGUAAUAGUGGCAUUGUUAAUCUUUGAGCUGAGUGCAACAUUGUAAUUUGUAAUGGUGGUUUUCAACUGGUGGGUUGUAACUCAGAAUGGAUGAACAAGUGGGUCUGUUCUAAAUCACAGACAUUUAAAACAUUCAGUAACCACUGAAUAGGACAAUUUUGGUUUAUGCUUGUUCAAUAAACCAGUGGUUUUCAAACCUGUCCUGGAGGUGCCCCUACACAUUUUGUAUGUCUCCCUUAUCAGAUAAGCCCCAAUCAGGUCUUGCCAUUCCUACUAAUGAGCUAAGUUGAAUCAGGUGUGUUAGGAGGGAGACAUACAAAUGUGCAGGGCAGGUUUGAAAACCACAUCAAUAAACAACUCUGGUGCUGUUGAUGCACUUCAUAUUCUAUGCUAGGGGUUCUCAUCUCUGGCCCACCAGAUCAGUUUUUCUGCAGAGUCCAGAUCCAAACCUAAUCAAACACGCCUGAACAAAUUAAUCAUGUCUUCUAGGAUUACU